UUGGAUGGCGACUGCCUCCCAACUACACGCAGGAGCGCUUCAUCGCGAGUCUCCUCCACAUUGAGACAUCGCGCUGGUGCCGGUCCUCGGGCAAGCCCACUCAGCUGCUCCACGUCCCUCCCGUACCGCGUCAGUCAGUCACCCGUUUCCUUCUUCUUCUGCAGUCCUCGUCGUGCCCGUUUAGCCCCCCAUACGGUCUCUUGGUAACCCCCUCUCCCCUACGUAAUGUGGCGGCACCGAGGGGAGACGAGAGAGUGAGAGGGGCUCCUCCUUCAGCUCCCCUGCCCGCGUGGCGUAGCCGAGCACGUGGCGCGGUGGGAGGAGACGCGGCCAGGCGGGCAACUCGCGUCAGUGGCGGCCGGGUCGCGGUGAAGUCUCUUGUCGCGGUGAAGUCUCUUGUCUCGCGGUGAAGUCUCUUGCGGGAACUCUCCGCCAACAACACCACCACCACCACUCCCCUCCCCCUACCAUCCAACCACCCGCCGCUCUCCGUCCUUUCGCGUUGUCCCCGCUGCGUCGUCGAGAGCCCUCGAUGCGCCGCAGUGAGUCGCCGUGGUCCGUGCGCCCGCCGAAUCCCCGCUGCUGUAGAACUUUCCACCGUCCGCAAACUCUCUCGCACAGCCGGGAGACUUUUGAUUAAUCAAUAAAUUACUGUAUACGAAAGAAGGCAAAGUGCCCGGCCUUAACACGAGUUUUGGUGGCUUUCCCGUUCGCGAUGUAAGUGGCGUCUAAAGUUACAAAUAGCGAUGUCACCAAAUUUCGAAUUGAAAACAAACCAAUUUACAGACAUUUGUAGAGACAUUGCCGGAUUAUGUCGUCCUCCCAAGCUGGGUGAGUUUGUUGGGUUGUUAUUUUUUUGUAAAGAUAUUUGACGCUGGUCAGUGCGGCUAUGCGCUGAUGUGGUUUCAGGUGACCACCGACUGCGAUCGGGAUCAACUACUGUACUUCAAGUUUACGUCCGUGAUCAAUGACUUUAUGUUUACGUACACCAUCCAAGGAAGCUUGAUAGAGGAGUGCAGGCAGGCAAACACUUUGCCGCAACUAAUUCAUAUCCCAUGGGCUUAGCGUGCGUGACGCUUGCCGAACGAACCACUUGCCUUAAAUCCUCAAAAAAUAUACAACUCAGCCAGGCACUUGUACAACUUGACGGUCUGAUCUGCUGCGUUUCAAAUAAGAUAUGGGUGAAGCUAUAUCCUGUUGUUGAGAUUUAGCUUGCUGAACAUAGCUGCAUGCAGCCAGCAAGGUAACAAUCCGGAGAUGGUACAGAUUUGAGGUCAAUUUUGGCUCAGAAUAUUUUUUUACGAAUUUAAAGCUCUUUAGACGGAUGCUUAAGACUGAAGUGGAAUUCAUCAUCUACAUUUGUGAAAACGAACAGAGACUGAAUGGGAACAUGUGCCCCCAUGACCUCGAGUGGUGUGUGGAAGACUUCAUCACGUGUGGAUUUUUCAAAAAUCCUCUUUUAUGUUAGCCUGCAUUUUGCCCUUGGAGCUUGGCACAUUUGUGUAAUAUAUACAUUAUUGACGAGAAGCACAUAAGUGAAUACUUUUUUUUUUAAACAUAAACAGUCAUGAUAUUAUCUUCAUAUUCUACACAAGACAUUGUGUCAGCCGUGGCCACCUUUAGUACCAUCGCAUUUUUUCUCACCGGAAUUGAUAUUUGUUUGAAAAUUAAAAGGAAGGGGAACACUAAUGGAUUAUCAAUGUUUCCUUUUGUCGCAUGCACUGUCUGUUCAGUGCUGUGGUUGAGGUAUGGAUUACUGAAGACUGACAUGACAUUAAUAUACGUCAAUGCUGCUGGGGCUUUUAUAGAGUUCCUGUACGUCCUUUACUUCUAUACUCACGCUGACGAAAAGAAACCACUUCACAGGAUGUUGUUAGGGGCCACGUGCAUCGUUUUCGCGACGCUUGUUUACAUAAACUACUUGGCGGAAGAUGUGGAAACUGCAAAGUAUCACCUGGGUCUGCUCUGCACUUUCGGUGCAGUUAUAAAUUUUGGCGCGCCCCUUGCUUCCAUUGCUGAAGUGUUUCGGACCAAGAGCACGGAGUGUCUGGCUCUCCCUUUGUGCCUCGCUAAUUUUGUCGUGGCUCUGGAGUGGUUCAUAUAUGGAGUCAUCAUUCAUGAUAGCUUCGUUAAGAUUCCAAAUGUGCUGGGGUCGAUGCUGGGAGUGGCACAGCUGGCGCUCUUUGUUAUGUAUCCAAGGGCUGACAACCCACCACGAUAUGAUAUGUCGUCACCCACGCUGAAAGCUCCAUAAGUGCAUACGUAUCGGUGUUUUCGACAUUGAAUUACACAACAUCUGUUUUGUACUGUCAGCAUUAUGCAAAGUGGUUGGAAUUUAAAACAAAAAUGGAUGAAACUUUGUCAAUGUGUUAUGGGUGUUUUUUUUUACCUUGACAAGUAAAAUUGUGGGUUUAGAAACCUUGUAACAAAAACGAAGACAACAGGAAAUGUCAGUGUUUUAGAAGUCUCAUUCUUUUUCACCUUAGCUGCCUUAGGCUUUAAAUAAUUUCUUAUGAAAGUAUGUUUACAAAUGCGAACUACAUAUUCAGACCUGAAUGGGAUUGUUGCAUUUACACACCGUCGUGCAUCAUGAUGAUAUAUAUUGCUACAUGCGUGUUAAAGAACUCCACAGUUCCAUUUGAUAUAUUUAAUAGCGUAGCCAAAACACAUUCUGCUUGCAUUGUUUUCUGGGUUGGUGGAAUGUAGAGUUGACUUGACCAUUGCACAAUUGUGCCCUUUCGAUGCAAGUGAACAAAUCACUCGGUGGCCACAUCACAUCCGCAUUUGGAUGCACUUAUUAUCUCGGCAUGCUUAUUUGAGGCGUGAUAUAUCGAUUUAUUUACGUGCCGAAUUUCUUUCGCACCGUACAUAGCCAACCGUAUUAUUCGGAGGUGUGGGGGGAGGUCAACAAACUAAACACAAAAAGGCCUUCUAAGGAAAUGAGCUUGCAAUCGAUUUAAAAGCAGCUUCCUAAUAUCAGAAGGAAGAGCAUUCCAGACGGUCACAGAUGAGCAUCUGAAAGCGCGUGAUGCAGUUACCGUCUUUGUUCGAUAGCCAAUGCCAGGAUGACUGUAGGUCACGUGAUGGUUCAUGCUCUUUGAGGGGAUCACAAAGGUAUUGUGGUUCGUUUGUUGCAAGCACCUUGUGUGUAAUGUUAAUGCUAAAUUACAGUCCUUUUUCAAUCCACUACUGGAUGAAUACCUUCCGAGACCUUUUCGGUUAUUGGGGGUUUACCCAUACUUCCCCAACGCUGGUCAGUGUAUAUUGAUGUAAAGGGGGUCCAGGACUUUUGUUAACACUUAUUCACUGUGAAAAGGGAUGGGAUGCUACGUUAGAGUAGUGCAAUAAACAUUGCUGCAACGCUCCACACAUACCUUUGUUAAGUGUUUGCUUUUUUGAUGAAUUUGCCCCAAGGCCUGUUUGUGUUUCAAAUGAAUUAUAAAAAAACGUAAUUGGA